rnacentral:lncRNA from 1 species
GAUAUUUUCGGUACCACAAAACCGCGGAUGCAUCUAUGGUGAAAAUUGCAGCUAUACAUCUUGAAGGGGAUGCUAUACAAUGGUUUGACUGGUUUGAACAUACUCAUGGAGUCCUUUCAUGGCGACAAUUCAAAGAAGGACUGCUGAUCCGCUUCAGAUCAACCGAUUACGAGAAUAUUGACGGACAACUAGCAAAGAUCCGAUAAACCUCCACCAUUCAG